ACAUCCUGCGCCGGGACCCGCCGCCUGCCUGCGGGGUGACCUCACGGCGGCCCUUACUGCCAUCCGGGCUGCUCUUCUGCGGAUUAGCUUCUUUUCUUUUUUUUCGUGGUUACGUUAUGUGGAAGGGUUUAUUCUUGUUUUGUGCUUCGCAACGGGAAGAGGGUACAUCUGUAGCAGCAGCAGUGAUGCGUUCUUUGUGUUAUUUUUGUCUCUUGCUUUAGCAAAGUCAUGGAAAAGAUGACAGGGGUGCAGCGUCCCUAGUUCUGUGCGCUUGGCACUGGCACAGCAUAAGCUGCGUGGGUCAGAAAGUGCCGCGAGGAGAUGGGAUGUGUUGGUAGAACCGUAGGAGCAUCAGUCAGGAGCUUCUCUCGGCCAAGCAAACAGAAUAGCUGCCGUGCUUUCCUCUCCUGAUGCUUAGCAUUAGCUGCCUGUGGAGAGAAGGUUUUAGAUUACUACUACAUCUGGCCUGACAGAAUUUCAUGUAUCUGAAAUAUUAAUGUAUUGCCUAACAAAGGCCUUUCAUAGCACGCUGGGAGUGAAACAAAAAGACCCAUUCUCAUUGUUUGAUGUGAAAGUGCUUGAGAGGAAGGAGAUGCUCAAUUGCUUUUUGCCGUUACCUUGUUGUUUCUUUGCUACCUCUAACACAUCACUAAAAAUGGUGUUUGGGUCCCCUAUACCACGGCCUGUACAACCAAUAUUUACCCAAACACAUUAUUUCUACCGCCACACGAGGUCACUUAAUCACAUAAUUGUCUCCAAAGUGGUUUGGAUUGUGCUCGUGAGGGCUUCCUGCCAGCUGGACUCUCCCACCAACAACUGACACCUGGAGGUUCAGUAUGUUUGUUGGACUUGAUGGAUGAUCUUUAGGGUCUCUUUUCAACCAAAAUGAUUCUAUGAUUCUGUGGCCCAGGGCAGAACUCUUAGCCCAGGCCUGGGGUUACGGUUAGGACUAGGACUAAGGUAAACAGAGUGCGAAGUAGGAAACCUAUGUGUGUUAGAUCAGUGCCUAGGCAUGGUUUAUUCUAGAGUCAUAGCUUGCUGUUAUGCCCUUUUUUUCCCCCUUGGGAUGCCAUGAACUGGACAUAACUGUUCCACUUGCAACACCUUUGCUUGGAUCACAGGUGGAGUGACAGGCAGGGUGUGCAUCAAGUGCUGCCAAAGGGGAUCUGGAAGAGAAGGAAAACAGUCAAUUUUCUGUUCUGCUUGUGGCUUGGCUUCAUGCUGUAACACUGAUAUUCUUGACCACCACUGUUUACCUCCUGUCACAGUGGGUAGAGAAGGGAAUGGGCAUAACAUGGGUGGAGACAACUGUGUGGGGAGAGAACUGAGUGACUGCUGAAAGCAUGUUGCUAAGCUGGACAUUGAUUGUCAUAAAAAGUGAACGGAUUUAAAGCAGAAGGAUUUUCUCAGUUCAAUCAGGUGCAUGGAGUACAAGUUCAGAAGAAAGUACAUGAAGCUGUUCAGUAAGCAUAAAUCCCAUGAAGGUGACUUUAAUUAUGCUCUGGCUGCAUUCAGUGAAGAACAGAACCUGUAUCCAUGCUGUGACUUACUUCCUGCUCAAAUCAUUGAACUAUGUCUGCAGCUACAGCAGUCCCGAGUUCAAGUUUUGACACUGUCAGGGUUUGGUCAGAAGAAAGUCCAUGCUGGUGAUGUGCCUCGCAUCCUCUGAACAGGAAAUGUUGCUGCUAACAAUGCAAGAGCCUGCACCUCCCAAAACAGGGCGCAUGGGUGCUUAUGCUUCCCCCAUGACUGAGCACCCCUCUCAGUCAUGAAGAGACACCAGAGACCAUGUAGCCAAGCUCCAGACUUGGCUGGAGAGGAGCAUCUGUCAGCCCCUGCAGCUUAGCCAUGCUCUCCUCCCUCUGCUCAAGGAGCCUGCUCCAGUCAAAGCACCAGGACUGUGUUAGACAGGAAGGAAGAAUGAAUUCCAGAAGGAGGAAUCUCCAAUGAUUGUGCCCCUUCCCAGCCUCUAGACAUUCAAACCCAGGUGCCUGCAACCGAGAACUUCACAGCUGAUUUUGACAAUUAAGCAAAAAGACUAAUGGACUUCCUCAGGUAACCAGGCAAGAUGAGCUAUAUUCUCUGGAGAGUAAAUGUUUUGCUUUUAUAGCACAAUAUUGCCUCCCAGAGAUGACUGUUUAUGCUACUUUUACUGCAUCGUUACAGGAAUAAUAUUACCAUAUAGCAAAUUGCUUUUUCACCAGCAGCACGUACCUCCCACGUACCACACCUUCAUUUACACUUCUUGGCAGCUCUACCGUGGCAGCGCACAGAUCCUUGUGCUGUCUUGGCAAACCAGACGGGACGCCUGGGCUUGUGCUUAAGAGUAGAAGGCAGGUGUUGUAACAUUUUGCCGCACGAUUUCAUGUGCUAGUAGCAGGAGCAUGUGAUCCCUAAUUCCUGAGGUACAGCAUCACUCUGACUCCCAUGCCAAGCCUUUUCUGAACAGGCUCAGGCAGCUUCGCAACUGCAAGUCAUUUUUCUCUGAUACCUAUAGAUAGGGACUAGAAUAACACUGUGAAAAUGUCUUUCAGAGCUUGUGAGUAAAGAAGGAUCUGGAAAUGGGAAAGGCUAGUAUCAUAAUGUCUUAUAAUGUCAUAGUAUCAUAUAAUGCUAGUUCCUGGGUAUUUGAUUUAACAUCCUAGUACCACAACAUUUCUAUAGACUUUUCAGGGGAGUUCUGAGUCAUUAAAAUUGUUUCAGGAGCUAAUGACUUCCAAUAUUUCAUUAUUUUGUGUUUUGUUUUUAAUUAUUCCUUGUUUAAUUCUCUUUGAAAAUGAGUGUUCUUUCCUAGCAAAGAAUGAAAGAACAUGGGUCAUACAUGGUUUUUCUAUUCUUAUUUUAAUUUUCUUAAGAAAUUGCUGAAUGAACGAAUCACAGGGGCCACAGUUUGACCAACAGAUUACUCAGUCAACUCAACCGACCACUAGAUUGCUCCAUAUGUUGCUCAGGGAAGCUGUGUAAUUUACAUGUCUGAAAGUCUUUGGUUACAAAGCAAACACUUUGAGGAACAGCAUACACAAAAGUUAGGACGGAGCAAUAAUCUAUGUCAAUGUUUCUCAGCAUUUUUCAGCUGAAGAAUAAGCCAAACUUUAAGCAAAGAAAGGUAUAUUUUAUUUAAUUUUGUCAUAAUUGUUUUAUUGUGUAAUUAACAUCAUGUGGGCUGAAAUGGGAUUAUACAUGCUUUAGGUUUUUUACUGUGAUUUUUAUUAAUUUCUUCAGUUAUACUAAUUUUUGGCUGUAUAUUUUGCUAACAUUAUGAGGUUUUAAAUCAUUCGGUAAAUGUGCCAUCUAAGAUCUUAUGAGCCAGUGGUGAAAACCUGUUGAGAAGCAUUGAACGAGGUAACUUCUGCAGGUACUUCCUGUCCAUUUGCUUUACAACUCUUUUGAUAUCCUGACAUUUGCAAGUAGGUGUUCCCCGGCACCCAACUUGCACCAUUCACUCCAGAGUAGUGAGAGUGAGGAUGUGAGAUCUUCCUCUGCAUUCCUCUGGUCCUUUUACACUCAACGUUAAGCUACCAGGGCAAACAGAAAUGUUUACUGCUGCUGUCUGCAGUUUAUUCAUCCAAAUCUCCUUCUUCCCAUGGCCUUUCUUGUAGUAGCUGUUCAUAGUUUUUCUAAAAGCAGCAAAUUUUGAGGCAAGUCAUUUGUCUAUAAAUUCUCAUUUACUUCUACCUGUUUUAUUUCUGAUGAAAGGUUUUGAUUGGCAAAAUGAAGUAUAAUCUGUUUAAAGGCCAGCCUAGAUAGAUACUGCUCUACAGCUCAUAUUUUAUGAGGUUUUUGUGAACUCUGUGUCAGUAUGAAUGUCAGCAUGGGAAACAUAUUUAAUCUUCCUGCACAGCUGUUUUUGUCAUCCUUCUCCUCAAUCAUUAAUAAACAGCUGAUAAAGCUCUUAGGGGAACUUGCCGUGAUGCAUACUGACAUUGCUUUGUCCAACCUGUCCCUUCUGUUGCCUAGCAGAGGGUUAAUGCUUUAAACUGGCCAGAGAGUUUGAGAAGACUUGGGAAAAUUCAGGAGUGGUUACACAGGUGGUAAGAGGUCUGACCUUAGCCCACCAUCACAUGUGAAAUUAGAAGAACAACUCAUUGCACUGGAAGAAAGACCACUAUUCUAAUUUUGUGAUUUGAGCUGAAUUUUGUGAUUUGUUAAUUUUUAUUAAUAGCUCAGCUGCUCCAGAUAGAAACUCUGACUCACAACCUGGGGGGAUGGAAGUGAAGUGAGGGCAAAGAGCUCCACACCCACCUGCAAGCUCUGAAGGGAGACUGGAAGUGGGGUAACUUAGUAAAUGCUAUUCUGGACUAAUGCUUUAAAAAGACUGGGCUGAAAACUUUGUCUCAGGAAAAUUGAGAAGGGAAUUUCCCUUAUACUCAGUCCAAUCAGAAUUUCAUGCAGAAGAGGGAGGAAUGUAAUUUCAGAGUGACUUCCCUGACAGUAGAGACCAUAUGCCCAUGAUUUACCUAGAAAGUUAUUUUUCUAGUGCCGGGGAAUUUCUGGUUUUCAUUUCAGUCAAAUUACUCUGUGGGUGUUGACAAUAUUUAUUCACAACACAUUGCUCUAUAGCAUAAUCUUUGUUUGCUGUGUUUACCUGAUGGAAGUGACUCAGUGGGACCGUUGUGCCAUUGGAUUAAUGAUAUUUAAGGUAAAAUGUUUGAAUUGUCCUAUGGCUGGAAGAGCAUGUGAGCAUUGCUGAUCGUUGUUCAUUGUCGCCAUUUUAGAACUUAAAAGGUACUGAGGGAGUGCUUCAGUUCUGAAAAUACAUAUGGUUUUGAGUGAAAUAGGAUAGCACUCUAAGCGAACUUCUGUAUAGGUGUUUUGGGACCUUGAAAAUGAUAUCACAAGAGUCACAAGUGUUUUCCUGAGAAUUUAUGGCCAUGUUAAUAAAUGGCAUCCUACAGUACCCUCAUGUAAACCCUUAGAAGCCUGACAUGACUUUAUUAGAGGUACUUUGGAUUUACAUCAGAGCAAAUUCACUGGAAAUUGUCCUCUGAUACCUCCAUUUUGAACAUUCAUGUUAUUUUAUAAUUCAAUAAGAUAGUUAUACAAAGAGGUGUUAAUGUUGGCUGUAGAAACUAAAGCCUUUUCUUUUCAGCCAAGAUGUGGCAUGUG